rfam:Candidatus Sodalis pierantonius str. SOPE, complete genome.
UUCAAUGGUAGCUCAGGCGGGAGCUUCUUCGGGAGCGCCGGAUUCCAAGGUAGCCGGUACUGUGAAUCCCGUCUGGGCUGCCACCAGU